GGGGCUGAACUGGUAUCGACCCUGAUUCGACCGAUACAGGAGAAGCGAGCCGAGGAACCCUGGCAGCCUCGUUAAACCGCUGGGGAACUUAUAAGUGCCGCUGCGUAAAAGCACGGUCGCCAUCCACUAAAGCGAUGGUCGUCGGCCCGAGGACCGCCUGCGUUCUCGGGAUCCGGCGUCGCCUAGCAGGCUUACCGCUCGAGGUUUGCUCGGAGCC
rnacentral:tmRNA from 1 species